UACGUAGGUGACAAGCGUUGUCCGGAUUUACUGGGCGUAAAGAGCGCGCAGGCGGUCGUUCAAGUCGAGUGUGAAAGCCCCCGGCUCAACUGGGGAGGGUCAUUCGAUACUGAUCGACUCGAAGGCAGGAGAGGGUAGUGGAAUUCCCGGUGUAGUGGUGAAAUGCGUAGAUAUCGGGAGGAACACCAGUGGCGAAGGCGAUCGCC
rnacentral:rRNA from 1 species